UUGUUGUCGUUCAUUUUAGUUUCCUUAAAGCUUUAGGGCGCAACAUUUUUAUUUCAAUGAACGUCCGUCACAUUCAACCCAUUGCCAAAUGAUCUGAUACCAAGCUAUUUAAGAUUAUCAUCUCCACACAACUCUCUCUGUAUUUUUCAG